AGCUCGUAGGUGGUUAGUUACGUCGGAUGUGAAAAUCUAGGGCUCAACCCUAGACCUGCAUCCGAUACGGGCUAGCUUGAGUUUGGUAGGGGAGACUGGAAUUCCUGGUGUAGCGGUGGAAUGCGCAGAUAUCAGGAGGAACACCAAUGGCGAAGGCAGGUCUCUGGGCCAAUACUGACACUGAGGAGCGAAAGUGUGGGGAGCGAACAGGAUUAGAUACCCUGGUAGUCCACACAGUAAACGAUGGGCACUAGUUGUGGGAACCUUCCACGGUUUCUGCGACGCAGCUAACGCAUUAAGUGCCCCGCCUGGGGAGUACGAUCGCAAGAUUAAAACUCAAAGGAAUUGACGGGGCCCCGCACAAGCAGCGGAGCAUGCGGCUUAAUUCGACGCAACGCGAAGAACCUUACCAAGGCUUGACAUAUACAGGAAUAUGGCAGAGAUGUCAUAGCCGCAAGGUCUGUAUACAGGUGGUGCAUGGUUGUCGUCAGCUCGUGUCGUGAGAUGUUGGGUUAAGUCCCGCAACGAGCGCAACCCUCGUUCUGUGUUGCCAGCAUUUAGUUGGGGACUCACAGGAGACUGCCGGGGUCAACUCGGAGGAAGGUGGGGAUGACGUCAAAUCAUCAUGCCCCUUAUGUCUUGGGCUGCACGCAUGCUACAAUGGCUGGUACAAAGGGCUGCAAUACUGCAAAGUGGAGCGAAUCCCAAAAAGCCAGUCUCAGUUC
rnacentral:rRNA from 1 species